rnacentral:rRNA from 1 species
UGUAUCGGCUAUGAGAGUAGGAGCCGGGAGAUGGAUACUGAGACAAAGAUCCAGGCUCUACGGAGCGCAGCAGGCGCGAAAACUCUGCAAUGCGCGCAAGCGUGACAGGGGGAAUCCAAGUGGGCCUGUAAAACAGGUUCUUUUGUAGUAUGUAAAAAGUACUGCGAAUAAGGGGUGGGCAAGACUAGUGCCAGCCUCCGCGGUAACACUAGCAACCCGAGUGGUAGUCGUUCUUAUUUGGCUUAAAGCGUCCGUAGUCAGGCCGUUAAGUUCUCUGUGAAAUCCUGCAGCUUAACUGUAGGGCUUGCAGAGAAUACUGGCGGUCUUGGAGCCGGGAGAGGUUGGGGGUAUUUCCGGGGUAGCGGCGAAAUGCUAUAAUCCUGGAAGGACCACCGAUAGCGAAGGCACCCGACUAGAACGGGCUCGACGAUGAGGGACGAGAGCUAGGGGAGCAAACCGGAUUAGAUACCCGGGUAGUCCUAGCCGUAAACGAUGCAGGCUGAGUGUCUCCUGAACUUCGAGUUCAGGAGGUGCUGAAGGGAAACCGUUAAGCCUGCCGCCUGGGGAGUACGGUCGCAAGGCUGAAACU